UGGGUCUGGCUCCUCUAGUAACUUUGAGGGC
rnacentral:piRNA from 1 species